AUUGAACGCUGGCGGCAUGCCUAACACAUGCAAGUCGCACGCGAAAGGGGGCAACCCUGAGUAGAGUGGCGGACGGGUGAGUAACGCGUAGGAAUCUACCUGGUAGUGGGGGAAAACCCGGUGAAAACCGGGAUAAUACCGCAUACGAUCCACGGAUGAAAGCAGGGGACCGCAAGGCCUUGCGCUAUCAGAUGAGACUGGGUCGGCUUAGCUAGUUGGUGGGGUAAAGGCCAACCAAGGCGACGAUCCGUAGCUGGUUUGAGAGAACGACCAGCCACACUGGGACUGAGACACGGCCCAGACUCCUACGGGAGGCAGCAGUGGGGAAUAUUGGACAAUGGGGGCAACCCUGAUCCAGCAAUGCUGCGUGUGUGAAGAAGGCCUUCGGGUUGUAAAGCACUUUCGGUGGGGACAAACAAGGUGGAGCUAACAUCUCCGCCUCUGAUGGUACCCAAAGAAGAAGCACCGGCUAACUCUGUGCCAGCAGCCGCGGUAA
rnacentral:rRNA from 1 species